rnacentral:rRNA from 1 species
AUUGAACGCUGGCGGCAGGCCUAACACAUGCAAGUCGAGCGGAGCGGCGGACGGGUGAGUAAUGCCUAGGAAUCUGCCUGGUCGUGGGGGAUAACGUACGGAAACGGGCGCUAAUACUGCAUACUCUUAGAUGAGCCUAUGUCGGAUUAGCUAGUUGGUGGGUUAAAGGCCUACCAAGGCGACGAUCCGUAACUGGUCUGAGAGGAUGAUCAGUCACACUGGAACUGAGACACGGUCCAGACUCCGACGUGAGGCAGCAGGGGGGAAUAGUGGACAAUGGGCGAAAGCCUGAUCCAGCCAUGCCGCGGGUGUGAAGAAGGUCUGCGGGUUGUAAAGCACUUUCAGUUGGGAGGCGUUACCAACAGAAUAAGCACCGGCUAACUUCGUGCCAGCCGCCGCGGUAAUAC